rnacentral:rRNA from 1 species
UACGUAGGUGGCAAGCGUUGUCCGGAAUCAUUGGGCGUAAAGAGCGUGUAGGCGGCUCGGUAAGUCCGCUGUGAAAGUCCAGGGCUCAACCCUGGAAUGCCGGUGGAAACUGUCGAGCUUGAGUCCGGAAGAGGCGAGUGGAAUUCCUGGUGUAGCGGUGAAAUGCGCAGAUAUCAGGAGGAACACCAAUGGCGAAGGCAGCUCGCUGGGACGGUACUGACGCUGAGACGCGAAAGCGUGGGGAGCAAACAGG